rnacentral:rRNA from 1 species
UACAGAGGGUGCAAGCGUUAAUCGGAAUUACUGGGCGUAAAGCGUGCGUAGUCGGUUAUUUAAGUCGGAUGUGAAAUCCCCGGGCUCAACCUGGGAAUUGCAUUCGAUACUGGAUAGCUAGAGUUCGGCAGAGGGAAGCGGAAUUUCCGGUGUAGCGGUGAAAUGCGUAGAUAUCGGAAGGAACAUCAGUGGCGAAAGCGGCUUCCUGGACCAGAACUGACGAUCAGGCACGAAAGCGUGGGGAGCAAACAGGG